AGAAUCAAUAAUUCUACUAGUUGUUGCAUAUAUUCCUGUUGCAUAUAGCAUGGCAUCAUUGCAGUUGUGAGGCAAAGCAAGGUAAAGUUAGUUGCAUGUUUAUGAUAUAUAUAUCUAUCUGUUUAUUGGACUAACUUGUAUUUGCCUCCCUUGGACCUGUUGGUCGAGCUCCUCCCUUGGGUGGCCGUACCCACUGGGAACCAUGGAGUUGGUUCUCACCCCACGUUGUUUUGGGGUUUUACAGGUUCGCACGUGAGCGGCGCGGCGGCGCGAGGCAAGGGCGUAGCUCCAUAGAUAGCGCCCUACCCCCAGAGACCAGAGCUAGCAGUACCCCGUCGGCGUAGCUUAGGGGUAUAGAAAAUGAAAGGAAUAAAAUGUAUUAAACUUGUAAUAGCUUAGAUUGUAUUUGGAAGUUAAAUGUAGUAUAAAGUGUGAUAUAAGUAAAUGAAUCUAAUGUGAAUGUUGUAAUAACAUAGGAUAUGUUAUGUUGUUUGAUACUUCCUUACGCAAUCAUGAUUGAUAUCUGUUCCUGGUUGGGACCAUUGUAAUGUACAUUGUUUGGAUUGCGACGCCUAGAACGUACAGGGGAGACUCUGUCCGCGUACAGGGGAAACCCCGGUCCGUUCGGCGGUCUGUCGGCGUGCCCGAACCGGACCAAAUUGGGAGCGGUCUCGGGGCGUGACACUCAUCACCUGUACAUUUUCAAUCAUGAAGUGCACUAGCGAAAAUAUAUUCAAACGGCUUACACGAGUGUAAGCAAUAGCCAUUAGUGAGAGAAAGGAAACUAACAUUCAAUUUGUACUAUGAUUCAAUUUAGAUCAUAUACAUUGCUUACAUAGUUCUUUACAUACUUUUCAUCAUUUCUUUUUACAUCACAUUGCCUCAAAAUAAAACUUUACAUUCUUUUUCUUUACUUUAAACAUCUUCGAGUACAAAAGAUGAAGUAAGGGAACGCUACUACAAAAUGUAAACCCAACUCUGGUGGCCUCUGACUAAGGUGCGAUAACUUUACCGCGGUCGCUCGCCAGCUCACUCGGUCCCGGCUUUGUGGAAUAGUGGGGUGAGAACUACAACAAAGUUCCCAGUGGGUUCGGCCCCAAUCUCACCGACUUUUCCACUAGGACUAACUCAGGCAUAAUAGAAAGGAUAAGCAGAAAUAUAGUAACCAAUCUGUAACUUGAUGCUAAUAUGCCUGAACAAUAAAGUAAGGAGUAUGCUCAACAUAAAACUCAUGUAGAUUAUGCAAGUUCUUUUGUUCUUUCUCUUUACUCUUUAAGCUUUGUUCUUUGUUCUUGUUCUUUAAUCUCAUGGCUAACCCGGGGGUUUCGCCACAUUAACUUGCCCACAUUAAGUACAUCAACACGGGCCCUCAGCUGCCUCUCGCUAAGACCGUCUUCGGGUUUACUCCAACCCGUGAUGCAAAAACUCCGGAGCGCAUCGCCCGAGGGGGAGCGACCGCCCUCGAGCAUGGAACUCAUAGCAAGUAUGAUUGAAUCCUUAACUCUAUGGAUUUUAAAUUUAAUCAUGUCAUUACACUAACUCUAGUGUUCUUUUCAUCACUUUAUGUUGCUAACUCUAGCAAUCAUUGUUCUUUGCUCUUUACUUGUUCUUUAUGCCAAACUUUGCAUUAACUUUAACCAUUAUCAUUGUUCUUUACAUUACUUUACAUUAACUUUAAUCAUUAUCAUCACUCUUUACAUCACAUUGAUCCUUUGCCUCACACUAACUCUAGUGUCACUUUACUUUACAUUAUCGAAUGCCACUCGAUCUAUGUCUCAUUGUGUCACUCUAUUCUUUUGCCUCACUUUGAUGCUCACAUUAUAUCUCAUGCAUACAUGUAGGGUUAAACAUUCAUAGGAGUUCUCGACCAUCUCAUUAGGCAAAUUGUACUCACAAUAUGCAAUAUCACAUCAUUCUCAUUACAUAUACCCUAUGAUGCAUGCAACAAUGUAUACAACAUAUGCUCAAUUGAAUGACCCAUUAGGCAUAGAAGGAAGUUCAAUGAGUUUGGAUAGCACCACCUACCUCGUAGGUUCUCAAAGGUGCUCUGACGAUUUUCUUGGAAUUUUUAGACUCCUCGUUCUUCACCUGCGACAAAACGAAGCCAACUUAGGCCAUUUUGCCCAUAACUUUUUAUAGACUUUUCGUAACGUUAAUCCGAGCGCACCAACGCGUCGGAAAUACUCCGAAUUAGGUUUCUAGAGGGUCAAUUUCACUUUGAAACCCUCGCAAGCAAAAGCCCCAAUUUGUGUGCCCUAGCUCAUAACAUAUAUCAAACCUAGGGUUUGAUCUCAUUGGGAAGCAAAAGAAGCUUCAAUCUACUCUAGGAAGUCCAUUAAAACCAUUCUUUGUUUAACCCAAACCCUAGUUUGGAUCCUACCAUGAGAGGGGUAAAAGCUCACUUUCAAGCUCCACCUCUACACUCAAUCCAUGGUUUCAAUCUCAAAAGAAGCAAAAGAAAGCUUCAAAGGCUCAAAAGGUUUUAUCAAAACCCAAUUCUAAGCUUAUCCAAACCCUAGUUUGGGAUUUACCAUGAAAAUGGCAAAGCUUACCUCUAAGCUUGCUCCUUUCUUGCACUAGAGGGGAAGAAGAAGAAGUCACCCCACUCCAAUGGCUUCUUCUCCACCUUCCUUGCCUUUCUUUUUCCUUUCCUUCUCCUUCUUCUUCUCUUUCUUUCCUUUCCUUUCUUCUCUUCUUUAUCUUCUAGAGAGAGAAAGAGAGAUGAGAGAGUGUGAGAGGGAGUGAAAUGAGAGAAGUAUCUCAUUUUCCCCCAUACUAUACCCUAUGGGUUGCAAAAUUGUAGUUAAACCCCUCAACUUUCAUCUUGUUACACUGCCCGAACUGGGCAUUUUUCGUGCUCGGGGACGGGUCUCCCCGACUUGGGACCGGUCCCAGAGAGCUCUCCCCGCGGGCAGCCAAGGCUACGCGUGACGCAACCGGUUUCUCCCCCAGAGGGACCGGUCUCUCGGAGACCGGUCUCUCCCUGCAGGGACCGGUUCCGAAGAGCUGGUUUUCUGGAACUUAGCCGAUUUUUCGGCUUUCUCACGUUGCACAUGUUCGGGGACCGGUCUCUCCCACCAGGGACCGGUCCCCGAGAGCUCAAAAACUGCAGUUUGCAGAUUUUUGAUUCUUUAGCUCUCGAAAACCUCCCACAACGAACUUUUGACCAUUUUAACACCUUCGGACUUUCCGAAGUGUACCAUCCUCACACUUUGGUCAAUUUGACUAAUGUUUGAUAUUUAUUUUUUGAAUUUUCGGUAUAUUACAUUCUCCACCCCUUAAAAUAAUUUCGUCCGCGAAAUUACGCAUACCUUAACUCGUCGAUUCAAAUAAAUAGGGAUACUCUCUCCGCAUGGCCUCCUCAAGCUCCCAAGUGGCUUCUCGCACAGCAUGGUUGCUCCAUUGGACCUUCACAUAAGGAAUUCUGCGACUCCGUAGCUUUCUUUCUUCUCUAUCGAGGAUGCACACCGGGUACUCCUCAUAAGACAUAUCUUCACAUAGCUCUACGGGCUCAUACUCCAAUACAUGUGUCGAAUUGCGAAUGUACUUUCGGAGAUUUGACACAUGAAACACGUUGUGAACUCCUGUGAGUCUUGGUGGUAGUGCGAGCUUAUACGCUACCGCACCCACACGCUCUAGUAUCUCAAAUGGCCGAACAUAACGGAGACUUAACUUCCCACGGACCCCAAAACGUUUAACUCCUCGCAUCGGUGAUACUCUCAAAAAUACGCGGUCUCCAACCACGAACUCUAAAUCCUUUCUUCGCUUGUCGGCAUAACUCUUUUGCCGAGAUUGCGCUGUCGCUAACCGUUGACGCGCAAGACGAACCUUUUCUUCCGCCUCCCGUACCACAUCUGGGCCAAGAGCCGUUCUCUCGCCCACGUCGCUCCAAUGGAUAGGAGAACGAUACUUUCGACCAUAUAGUGCCUCAAAUGGCGCCAUUGCUAUGCUCUCUUGAUAACUAUUAUUAUAGGCGAACUCCGCCAUUAGCAAGAAAUCAUGCCAUCCUCCUUUGUAAUCUAGUACACACGCUCGAAGCAAGUCGUCGAGGAUCUGUAUUGUCCGCUCUGACUGUCCAUCACUCUGAGGAUGAAAUGCUGUGCUAAAGUCGAGCCGUGUGCCCAACGCAUCUUGCAAGCUCUUCCAAAAGUGGGAUGUGAACCUGGGAUCUCGAUCCGAUACAAUUGAUACCGAAACCCCAUGAAGUCUCACAAUCUCGUCGAGAUAAACUUGAGCUAACUUGUCUCCCGACCACGUAGUAUGUAUCGGCAAGAAGUGUGCCGAUUUUGUCAAUCGAUCCACUAUCACUCAUAUCGCAUCGUGUCCGCCUUAUGACCGAGGCAAACCGGUAAUAAAGUCCAUCGCUAUAUCUUCCUAUUUCCACACUGGUAUAGAUAGACUUUGUAGCUUUCUCGCCAGAAACCGACGCUCUGCUUUUACCUGGUGGCACGUUAGACAUUGCGCCACGAACUCUCCAAUAUCUCUCUUCAUACCCGGCCACCAAUAGUGCUCUUUCAAAUCCUUGUACAUUUUAGUGCCGUCGGGGUGUAUGCUAUGAGGAGAUUGGUCCGCUUCUUGCAUAAUCGCCCUUCGAACAUCAUCAUCUUUAAGCACACACCAUCAAUUUCGAAAUCGAAGUGCGCCGUUAGCUCCAAUGCCAAAAUCUUCGGCACUACCAUUCUCAACUUCACUCAGCACCUUUUGAAGAUAAGGAUCCGAGGCUUAGAGAUCCUUGAUUCUUUCCAAUAGGGUCGGUUGCACAACUAAUGCAGCAAGUGUAGCCGGCACUCCCGGCUCUACAACUUCCAACCCAAGCCUUUGCAUCUCCUUUUGCAGUAGCGGUUGAGGCGUAAUUGCCAUCGCUAAGUUCUCCGCCGAUUUUUUACUUAGAGCAUCGGCCACGACAUUGGCUUUCCCGGGGUGGUAUAGUAUAGUGACAUCGUAGUCCUUCAACAACUCCAACCACCGCUGCUGCCGCAUGUUCAAUUCCUUCUGGGUGAACAAGUACUUUAGACUUUUAUGAUCUGUGUAGACCUCGCAAUGCUCACCAUACAAGUAGUGCCUCCAAAGCUUUAGAGCGAAAAUUAUCGCGGCUAACUCGAGGUCGUGAAUCGGGUAGUUCUUCUCAUAACUCUUUAGUUGGUGCGAUGAAUAUGCAAUGACUCGCCCAUUUUGCAUUAGUACACACCCGAGACCAACAUAAGAGGCAUCACUGUAGACUACAAAAGUCUCCCCCGAAGUCAGCAAGGCAAGCACCGAGGUCGACGUCAAUCUGUUCUUUAACUCCUCAAAGCUCCGAUCACAAUUGUCGCUCCAAACACACUUUACUCCUUUAUGCGUGAGGCACGUUAGUGGAGUGGUUAUUUUGGCGAACCCCUCUACGAACCGUCGGUAGUAGCUCGCAAGUCCAAGAAAACUGCGGACCUCCGCCACAUUCGUCGGGCGAGGCCAAUCCUUUAUUGCCUCUACAUUCUUCGUGUCUACCGACACUCCGUCGCCCGAUACCACAUGACCCAAAAAUGUGACCUCCUUUAGCCAAAAGUCACACUUCUUUAACUUCGCAUAGAGCUUCUCCUGCCUGAGUAUCUGCAAUACAGCUCUCAGAUGCUCUUCGUGCUCCUCUUCACUUUUUGAGUAAACCAAUACGUCGUCCAUAAACACCACGACACAUCGAUCCAAUAACGGCCUGAAGACUCGAUUCAUCAAGUUCAUAAAUGCUGCCGGGGUGUUAGUAAGCCCAAAUGGCAUUACCGUGAACUCAUAAUGGCCAUACCGCGUACGGUACCCCGUUUUGUUCACAUCUUUCGGUCUAAUCUUUAGUUGAUGAUACCCCGAUUGGAGAUCAAUCUUCGAAUACACCUUGGAACCUUGCAACUGAUCGAAUAAAUUGUCAAUCCUUGGCAACGGGUACUUGUUCUUUAUCGUUACUUUGUUCAACUCGCGAUAGUCAACGCAGAGUCGAAGUGUGCCAUCCUUUUUCUUCACAAAUAGCACCGGAGCUCCCCACGGUGACACGCUCGGCCUCACGAAGCCUUUAUCGAGCAAGUCUUGUAGUUGGCCUUUUAGCUCUUUUAACUCCACCGGUGCCAUUCUAUACGGAGCCUUCGAAACUGGUUCCGCCCCGGAAAUCAAGUCAAUGACGAACUCAACUUUCCGGUCCGGUGGCAGUCCCGGUAACUCCGUCGGAAAUACAUCCGGGUACUCGCAGGCUACUCGAAUAUCCCACAACUUUGGGUACUCCUUUCGAGCAUCCACUAUGAUUUCCAAAUAGGCCUUACACCCUCCUUUGAUCAUCCUCUUUGCCCUUACAGACGAUAUGGUCGCCGCGAAGCGCCUACUUUUGCACGCUUGGUAGACCAACUCUUCUUGAUUAGGCUCACGAAAAGUGAUCACCUUGCUUUCACAAUCUAUAACCGCAUAAUAUUUGGAGAGCCAGUAGGUCCCCAAGAUAACAUUGAAUCCCCACAUCUGAUCUAGCACUAGUAGAUCAAUCGACAUAAUCCAAUCGCCUAUUUGCACUGGACACGCCAAACAUUCAUUGUGGACACUGAAUGAAUGUUCUGGGGCGUUCACCCACCAGUAAUCCUUAUUGUAUACCAUCUCUAUACCAUGAGUUUUAGCAAAUGACGUGCUAAUGAAUGAAUGAGAUGCGCCUGUAUCAAACACUGCUAUAGCUCUAGUGUCUUUAAUCACAAUUAUACUUGCCACGACGUCGUCGGAUGUUGCAGGUUGCUGCUCCUCCACCUGAGCGGCAAAGACUCGGCCGCUAGGCGCUCUCGAUCCCUUCGGCUAACGCGGUGAUGACGCGCGCCCAGCCGACAUCGCUGGUGGUAACCCCACAAGCUGUCUCGGGGUAGACGGUGCUGAUGCCGCCGUCAGCGCAGAUGACGUCCAGCUCGGGCACUCCCGGAUAAGAUGUCUCGGUUGGCCACACUUGUAACACUUGCUAUCGCGCUGCGGGCAAGUCGACACUCGGUGCUCUCCGCCACAAAUGACGCACCGAGGUGGUCUCCAAUUCCUCGACUGCUGUCGGGGAUACCGAGGGGGUUUCUUAGCAUUUGGCCAGCCCCCGGCACCGCCCGCCGUUCGCUUCUUGCCUUUAUCCUUUGACUCGGCCAUAGCCUCCCUUUCUUCACGUACAUGGGCGCUACCGUGCUCUGCCCACAAAGCUCUAUCGAAGACCUCGGCAAAGGUCGUCAGCUUCAGAAUCUGCACCUUUUCAUAUAUCCUAGGCUGGAGUCCUCGCAAGAACCAAUCAGCCUUGUCCCGAUCAUCUCUAACAACGUCAGGAACGCAGUCGAUAAUGUGGGAGAACUCUUGCUCAUAUUCUCCCACCGAUCAGUCGCCCUGUCGCAACUUGCGAAACUUCUCUUGCAACCUCCGCUUCACCAUGUCGGGGAAGUAGUUCGCAAAGACUGCUCUCUUGAACUCCUCCCAAAGCAUAAGCGGAAGAUCGGUAGGUCGAUCUCGCUUAACUCGCUUCCACCACACCAUCGCCACUUUCUCUAGACAAUGGGUGGCGAGGUACACUUUGUCCUUCUUCGAGGUAUUGAGAUCCACGAAGAGCGUCUCCAUUAAGUCGAUCCACGACUCCACAACCGUCGGCUCCACCAAACCGCCCUCGAAGGUAGGUAGGUUGAACUUCUUGAACUGAAUGAGAGCCGCCAACGUGCGCUCUCGCUCCGCCUCUACCAUCGCGUUAUCGGGAUUUGAGGUUCCCGACCUGGCCGGUACUAUCGUAACUGGCACAGUCGCUGCUGCCGCCGCUCCCUCGUCUACACUCGGCACUACCGCAGGGGGCACGACAUGUGUAACAUACCAGAUUUUGGUAUAAAAAUAAAAAUAAAUAAAAAUAGUGCGAGAAACUAUUUUUAUUGGAUUUAUAGAAGUAAAACACAAGUCAGAAGUGACUUGUGUUAAAAUCGGAAUGAAAACAGAAGAUCUAGAAUUUUCUGUUGGAAACGGGACAGAUAAAUUAGCAGAAAAUGCACAGUCUCAGAAAAUUAUGAAAAUUGGAGAAUAAGUCAGAAAUAUUUUUAUGAGGCUAGAUUUAAAGUUUCAUAUUUUUCUGAUACCCGUAGAGUGAGAAAUAAAAUUCGAGAGUUAUCUGAUAAAGAUUACAGUUCGGUACAGUUUUCAGUGACCAAACGGGGUCGAAACUGAAAACUUAAGAUAUAUUCUUACUCAGUACGUUAAACCGAGCCUGCCUGUCAAAUUUGAGCCCAAACGGACAUUCAGAAGGGCUCCGACUGUUCCGAACUGCUAAACUGCCCUGGAGUGAAUAGUGUUGGAGUGUGUAGUUAUUAAAGAAGUUGAUGCUUCUUCUUCCUCAACCGGCUAGCCCACCCCACCACUCACGCACGCAUGGUGGGAGAGGGAAAACCCUCCCUUCUCUCUCUAGAUUUUUCUUUCAUCUCUCCAAAUCUCUCGCUCAAAUUCGCGGCGUUGGCGGAGAAGAUGCUUGCGAACGCGUUGGGAGCGACGGAUCGAGCUUUCGUGCGGCCGUUGGAGCGGUGUUCUUUAGUUACGGCGUUCACAUUGUGGUAAGCUUUUGGAAUUUGGCUUAAUCCUUCACAUUAAGUGUUCUACUAGCCUCUAAUAAGCAUUGUUAGCAUGUUGCUCCAUUUAAUUUGGAUUAUUUGGAGGUUAAUUCAUGUUAGGGCUCACAAAUGGAGUUUUGUAAAAUAUGAGGGUUUGAUCUCAUUUGACCCUCUAUAGACCUAAUUGCUAGGUAAACGAACGUGUUGGCGAAGUCGGUUCGGCGAUUCGUCGAGCCGUUGUGAUGUUAUUAAAGAAACGGACGUUUAGGCUUCGUUUCCGCCUGGAGGGCCGAGGCGACAUCGUAAACUCAUGAAAAUGGAUUUGAAGCACCGUGGCACAUAACCGAAGAACUUUAAUUUCCGGAUCGUGGAUUGGAGGCCGUUCGGGUGGUCGCGCGAGGGAUCGGGCCAAACCGGGUGCCAGGUGCCGCGGGAGGCCGAUUGCAAGUGUCGACAAGCAAUCGAAAUGCAAAAUGAGGUAGGUUGUGUUUACCGAAGCGACUAGGUCGCCUCUAUGUCUAAGAGAAAUGGUUUCGUAUUGAUGCAUAUAAUAGUAGCUAAUGGUAAAUUAUGUGAAUGCAUGAAGUGAAUGCUAAGUAGGCUACCAAAGAAUGCAUGAGGAUAUAGUGGGAAUGAUGCUAGUUAAAAGUAUGAGAUAAAUGACAUUUGCAUGUUAACAUAAAGUAGAGAACAUGCUAGUUGUAAAGUAUAAUGAUAAGUUGUAAAGAAUGCUAGUUUGGAUAAGCAUGUUAUAUAAAUGCUAGAUAAUGCAUGUUAAUUAUCUAAAGUAACAUGCUAAGAGAAUGCACAUUGAGUGACAUAAUGUUAGUGUUAGAUGAUGCAAGUUAACAUGUAGAGGUUUAUAUUAAUAGAAAUGUGCAUAUGGACAAUCU
rnacentral:lncRNA from 1 species